CCUACGGGGUGCUGCAGUGGGGAAUAUUGCACAAUGGGCGCAAGCCUGAUGCAGCCAUGCCGCGUGUGUGAAGAAGGCCUUCGGGUUGUAAAGCACUUUCAGCGGGGAGGAAGGCGUUAAGGUUAAUAACCUUGGCGAUUGACGUUACCCGCAGAAGAAGCACCGGCUAACUCCGUGCCAGCAGCCGCGGUAAUACGGAGGGUGCAAGCGUUAAUCGGAAUUACUGGGCGUAAAGCGCACGCAGGCGGUCCGUCAAGUCGGAUGUGAAAUCCCCGGGCUCAACCUGGGAACUGCAUUCGAAACUGGCAGGCUAGAGUCUUGUAGAGGGGGGUAGAAUUCCAGGUGUAGCGGUGAAAUGCGUAGAGAUCUGGAGGAAUACCGGUGGCGAAGGCGGCCCCCUGGACAAAGACUGACGCUCAGGUGCGAAAGCGUGGGGAGCAAACAGGAUUAGAUACCCUAGUAGUC
rnacentral:rRNA from 1 species